CUUAUCCAGGCAGCACACUUACUACAAUUGGAACAAUACACAAAAGGUUAGCUUGGGCCCAGGAAAGGAUGUCACACAAAUUUGUGAAGCCAUUCAUAUUUUU